rnacentral:rRNA from 1 species
CGCCAACACUGGGACUGAGACACUGCCCAGACUCCUACGGGAGGCUGCAGUCGAGAAUCUUUCGCAAUGGACGAAAGUCUGACGAAGCGACGCCGCGUGUGUGAUGAAGGCCUUAGGGUUGUAAAGCACUUUCGCCUGGGAAUAAGAGAGAUUGGCUAAUAUCCAAUCGAUUUGAGCGUACCAGGUAAAGAAGCACCGGCUAACUCCA